rnacentral:lncRNA from 1 species
AUGCAAACAACCGCAGAGCAGGCUGAAUUCCUCCAAGGUCCAACGUGGGUGCAGAGGGUCUUUUUGUGCAGAGAGAGGGGCUGAACUGCGAGGUGGCCACCAACACAGAGGCCCUGCAGAGCGGCAGGAUGGAGAUACGGAGCUCUACAUCUCUGUGCAAAACCUAAGCCGUCCCAGCUCAGCAAGAAAGCAUCGCUGGAGGGCAGCCUGGUGGAGACGGAGGUGUGCUACAGGACCCAGCUGGCCCAGCUGCAGGGGCUCAUCAGAAGCAUGGAACAGCAGCUGUGCGAGCUCUGCUGUGAUGCAGAGCACCAGAACCACGAGCACCAGGUCCUUCUGGACGUGA